rnacentral:rRNA from 1 species
AGUCGAACGAUAUAGUGGCAGACGGGUGAGUAACGCGUGGGAACGUACCUUUCACUACGGAAUAGCUCUUGGAAACGAGUGGUAAUACCGUAUACGCCCUUCGGGGGAAAGAUUUAUCGGUGAAAGAUCGGCCCGCGUUAGAUUAGCUAGUUGGUAGGGUAAUGGCCUACCAAGGCGACGAUCUAUAGCUGGUCUGAGAGGAUGAUCAGCCACACUGGGACUGAGACACGGCCCAGACUCCUACGGGAGGCAGCAGUGGGGAAUCUUGCACAAUGGGCGAAAGCCUGAUGCAGCCAUGCCGCGUGAAUGAUGAAGGCCUUAGGGUUGUAAAAUUCUUUCGCUAGGGAUGAUAAUGACAGUACCUAGUAAAGAAGCCCCGGCUAACUUCGUGCCAGCAGCCGCGGUAAUACGAAGGGGGCUAGCGUUGUUCGGAAUUACUGGGCGUAAAGCGCACGUAGGCGGACUUUUAAGUCAGAUGUGAAAUCCCGGGGCUCAAC